AACGAUUAGAAAGUAGGGGGGAUGUUUAUAAAGCACAAUAGAUAGGCUAAUUCCUAAAUCUUACAACUUUAACAUUUCCUUCUUUUUAUAUAUUACGUUAGAUUGAAUUGGAUGAUGAUAUCGUUAAAUCUUCUUCCUGUGAAUGCGUCUUGAGGGAUUACUCAUGUCAUCAUGUUGCUGCAGUUCUUCUCUUUGGAUACAGGAAUGUUAGUAAGACUGAUGUGAGAUGUAGUUGGUUAAAACGCCCAAAGUCUCAACCUAAGAAUAUUGAGACAAUUGAGGAAAUGUAUCCACCUUCUGAUCCAACUUAUAGCACUCCACUGGAUUCUUUCUCCUGAGUCUCCCAUACAGCAACCACCUGUCCCACUGUUGGAAGACCUCUUAUUGUCAGAAGACUUUCUUCAUGUUAAUGAUCAGGAUAACUGACUCCGUCAGCAACUUAAGGUCACUAGCCACAUCAUUGAAACCACAGUUGAGAAAACUAAGGGGCAGAGGACUAAUGCAUUGUGGGCAGCAGUUAGGAAGUUGAGAAUUACAGCUUCUAAUUUUGGACAAGUUUUAAGAGCUGUUAGACUGAAAAGGAUUAGUAAGUCUUUGAUGAAAAGAUUGCUGUCUGCCUACAACUUGGAGAAGUGUGCUGCAAUAGCAUGGGGGAUAACCAACGAAAAGAUGGCCAUUGAAAAAUACACUGUCUUAGGGGCAUCUGUACAUGAAACAGACAGCUUACAACCAGAAGGACAAGGUGUUCAAAUUUGUCCGGCAACUCCUUGCCUUGCCAUUUCUCCCGCCAGAGCACAUCGAAGACGCGUUCCACCGUCUGGAUGGCCAUGCUCCAGUCCAGAAGCAUUGGCUCCAGUUAUAGAUUACAUCUACAGAACAUGGAUUCGUAGCCCCAUAUUUGAAACCCAUCACUGGAGUGUCUUUAUGACAGCCAUCCGGACCAACAACAACGUGGAGGGGUGGCAUAAGCGACUAAACACCAGUGUGGCAGGUAGGAGACCCGUCCCUUUUACCAUCUAGUAUCCAUGCUGUACCUGGAAGCAACGGACAUUAGCCUUCAGAUGAAGAUGGUGUCCGAAGGCAAGAUGCAGCGAUACCAACGGACGAGGACCCGUCAAGUAGAGGGACAUGUUUUUGAAUUUUGACACCAGUACUGCGACAGGGAGAUCACGGCAAGCCAGCUCCUACAGGGAUGUGUCAACAUCUAAGGUCCUCCUGCACAGUGAUGCGCAUAUCAGACGUCUUUCUUCCCACAAAAAUGGGACAACCGCAGAAAAUAUACCCGUUAUAUAUUAUCUAUGUGGUUUAUAUGGGAUUCAUGUGUUAUAAAUGUGUGAUUAAUAAAUGUUCAUGUGGAAUACAUGUUGCAUGUUGUAUCAAUGUGUUAUUUAUUGCAUGUUG